rnacentral:rRNA from 1 species
GACGUAGGGCGCGAGCGUUGUCCGGAUUUAUUGGGCGUAAAGAGCUCGUAGGCGGCUUGUCGCGUCGGCUGUGAAAUCCCGUGGCUCAACUGCGGGUCUGCAGCCGAUACGGGCAGGCUAGAGUUCGGUAGGGGAGACUGGAAUUCCUGGUGUAGCGGUGAAAUGCGCAGAUAUCAGGAGGAACACCGAUGGCGAAGGCAGGUCUCUGGGCCGUUACUGACGCUGAGGAGCGAAAGCGUGGGGAGCGAACAGG